GCUGGUGUAGCUCAAAGGAAGAGCAUUUGUUUUGUAAACAAGAUGUUGUGGGUUCAACUCCUACCGCCAGCUCCA
rnacentral:tRNA from 1 species